UUUAACAACCCUCGAUUUCAUCAUCUGUUUCCUGUUUGAAUAAAACAGGUUCUCCAACCGCUGUUUCUUGUCGUCUUGGCAUCGCAGGUAAGCUGUGUUCUUGAAUGAUUGGUUCCCGAUUUCGAUCGAUGUCUCUGAUGGUAUUAAAUCAAGCCCGUAUGCUCGUUCGGUGAUUUUAAGCAACAAAUAAGCUCCGUAUUUUGUGUUUGGAGAUAGCUUUUUGCUUCUGAUAUUGCCAUUGAUUUCCAACCUGCUGCUACUUGUGAGUUCGGCUACCUCUGAGAAUCUGAAAAUGAAGAAAAUUGUUGUAUUUUCGGGUUCAGAUGAUUCAAGUUCGGUUUUAUAAUUAAACUACUGACCUUGAUUCAGGGAUGGAUUUCCAAGUCCAAAACAUUGGAUCAUUGCUCGAACUUAUAGAAAGCUGCCUUGCUGAUAAAAUAUAUGAUUUUCUUCCACUUGGUCUAUCUAAUUUGAAACUCUGCAUUUUCAUGAAACAGAUGAUGAGAAAAAAAUCAUUAAAUUUAUAAGCACCUUUGUUGUUUCAAACAGGGUUUUAAUGGAAACUAACCAUUUUGCCAUCAGCAAUCAGAACAGGGUUGCAGAGGAGGUGAUAAAGCUGUUUCUUUGAAGCAAACAAAAAAGUUGUAUUACAAGCCUUGGACACAAUUUCAUGGUAAUCAGAUGGCAAGAACUUGUCCCAAACCAAAUCAGAAUCCGCCGCCGAUCCGAA
rnacentral:lncRNA from 1 species